GACGAACGCUGGCGGCGUGCUUAACACAUGCAAGUCGAACGGAAAGGCCUUUUCGGAGGUACUCGAGUGGCGAACGGGUGAGUAACACGUGGGUGAUCUGCCCUGCACUCUGGGAUAAGCCUGGGAAACUGGGUCUAAUACCGGAUAGGACCGCACUUUAGUGUGUGUGGUGGAAAGUUUUUUCGGUGUAGGAUGAGCCCGCGGCCUAUCAGCUUGUUGGUGGGGUAAUGGCCUACCAAGGCGGCGACGGGUAGCCGGACUGAGAGGUUGGUCGGCCACAUUGGGACUGAGAUACGGCCCAGACUCCUACGGGAGGCAGCAGUGGGGAAGAUUGCACAAUGGGCGCAAGCCUGAUGCAGCGACGCCGCGUGGGGGAGGACGGACUUCGGGUUGUAAACGCCUUUCGCCAGGGACGAAGCGUUUUGUGACGGUACCUGGAGAAGAAGCACCGGCUAACUACGUG
rnacentral:rRNA from 1 species